rnacentral:tRNA from 1 species
GGAGGCGCGGCCAUUGGUGCGGCAAGCGGUUUGCUAAACCGUCGAGCGGAAACGCUUUGUAGGUUCAAGUCCUAUCGCCUCCG